AGUGAACGCUGGCGGUAGGCCUAACACAUGCAAGUCGAACGGCAGCACAGUAAGAGCUUGCUCUUACGGGUGGCGAGUGGCGGACGGGUGAGGAAUACAUCGGAAUCUACUUUUUCGUGGGGGUUAACGUAGGGAAACUUACGCUAAUACCGCAUACGACCUACGGGUGAAAGCAGGGGAUCUUCGGACCUUGCGCGAUUGAAUGAGCCGAUGUCGGAUUAGUUAGUUGGCGGGGUAAAGGCCCACCAAGGCGACGAUCCGUAGCUGGUCUGAGAGGAUGAUCAGCCACACUGGAGCUGAGACACGGUCCAGACUCCUACGGGAGGCAGCAGUGGGGAAUAUUGGACAAUGGGGGCAAGCCUGAUCCAGCCGUACCGCGUGGGUGAAGAGGGCCUUCGGGUUGUAAAGCCCUUUUGUUGGGAAAGAAAAGCAGCAGGUUAAUACCCCGCUGUUCUGACGGUACCCAAAGAAUAAGCACCGGCUAACUUCGUG
rnacentral:rRNA from 1 species